CUUGCAUGGACACUUGGACUUCUCAUUUGCGUCGGCAUGGCAUCCUGAUGGUGUCACUUUUGCAACCGGGAACCAAGACAAAACAUGCCGAAUUUGGGAUGUUCGAAACUUGUCAAGGUCAAUUGCUGUUCUCAAGGGGAACCUUGGAGCAAUACGGUCCAUUCGCUACACAUCUGAUGGUAAGUACAUGGCCAUGGCUGAGCCUGCUGACUUUGUGCAUGUGUAUGACGUGAAAAGUGGGUAUGAGAAUGAGCAAGAAAUCGAUUUCUUUGGUGAGAUAUCUGGCCUAUCCUUUAGUCCGGACACAGAGUCUCUCUUUAUUGGCGUAUGGGAUCGUACAUAUGGCAGCCUUCUUGAGUAUGGCCGGCGGAGGAACUACUUUUAUCUUCAUUCCCUAAUGUGAGUUGAUUGUGAUGCAGUCAAAACAAGCAUGUUGGUGUAGUUUAUGAUAUUUGAGGAACUUGUAUCAUUACAAGUUGUCGAAGAGGGUUUACUGUAGAUGUAAAUGUAAAAUGAAACGAAUUAUGUAACUUUAGGUGAUUGCUGUUGAAUUAGAAUUUAGUUUUCUGAUGAUAUAAGAUGUUAAUGGGAGAAAGGGUAGAAUUAGAUAGGGUUCUUAAGUUGAACAAAAGUGAAAGACGUGUAUGGUUUCCUUUGCUGGGGAGCUACACACUACAGGUUUUAAAUUUGAAUUUAUGAACGGUGGAUUUGACUCAACUAAGAUUCGUAUACUAGUAUACCCAAAUAUUAUAAAAAAUAGUGAUAUAAUUAGAGGAUGUAUUUUUGUUUACCUCAACCUGUUCAUGUGUCCAGCUGUUGUCAUGGGUUGAAGCUUUAGCUCGGCUAUUCAUACGGCCUUAGAUGCCGCACAAUAAGCUCAACCAACAAUGAUGAAAGGAUAUAGUCAAUACCCAAAGACACACAAGGUUAAAGGCACUUGAGAGAGAAGUUUAACAAGGAGCAAUGAUAAAAGAUAUAGUCGAUUGCAAAAACCACACGCAAGGUUAAAGGCACUUGAUAGAAGAUAACGCAAGGAUAACACUUAAAGGAUAAAGGCACUUAAGAUAGUCAAUGCCAAAAAACACACACAAGGUUAAAGGCACUUGAGAGAGAGAGAGAGAUAACACAAGGAAAACACUUGCGAGAUGAUAAAGGCACACAAGGAAGAUUGUAGGAAAAUGCUUCGGUAUUUGACCGUCAAUGUGCGAACGUCGAACCCGAGGGACAUAAAGUAAUCAAAAUGCUAUGAAUCAAAAUACAUGCAAGGGAAAAACUAUUAAGCUACUAAGGCAACUAUUUAUUACGACAAUGGUAAAGAAAUGAUUUCUUACAAUUCCUAAUAAGAGAAUAAAUGUGCAAAAAUCCAAUUAUCGAAAUUAACAAAUAGGCAACAAUAGUGAUUGGUUAAUUUCCAUGCUAACAGUGAAUUUGUGCAUAAGGGAUUUAAUCACUAAUUUUCUCAUUUAUUAACAUCUCACAUUAAGUAUAUUCAAUAGAUAUUGCUCGUUUGAGCAUGCUUCCAGUAGAACCAGUGAGUAUGGUUCGAUUGAGCAUACUUUCAAUAGAAUCAGUAUCUCAUUUUUUUUUUAAGAUCAUACUAUUAUACAAUAUGAUAUUUAAUAAAAUUAUAUCAACAUAGAAUAUAAAAAUUGUUAGAAGUAUAAAUAAUCGUACAAACUUACAGGAUUGAUUUGUAGUAACGGCUUAGAAUAUCUUAAUCAGUUAGGCUUGUCUCUUCGGAUUAUUAGCUUGACGCUUAUAGAAGAAUCGAAACCUUUUCAUCUUUCAAAGGAAAUCCUGGAGCUCUAGCGAGAUCAUUAAAGUUUCCAUGUGUUGGACCAAAAAAUCUUCUUUGGCUCCUAAAGAUGGUUUGAUUGAUAACAUAGGUUUAACUCAUGAGGAGCCUUUUUCCAAGGCUGAACCUUUCUUAACACCAAUGGUGUUGUUCAAGUAACGUCAGGAAGAGCAACUACUGGAGGAGUGGUACGGGAUGGUACUGGUGAUUGGGUGAUUGGUUAUAAUAGAUUCCUAGGGAAUUGUUCGAUUUUUGACACGGAACUUUGGGGCAUUUUGGAUGGCUUAAAACUCCUCCAACGUAGAGGUCAUAGCAGUGUAGUUAUUCACUUUGAUAGCUUGGAGGUAGUAAAAGCUAUUCAUGGCAAUAUUUCGAAGAUCUCAAACUCUACCCUGAUCAAAAGAAUACAUAGUAUUUUGUCCCAAGAAAGUCAAUGGAUUUAAGAUAUAUCCCAGGGAGGAGAAUCAAUGUGCUGACUAUCUUGCCAAAUUGGCCUUUGAAAGGAAAAAGAAUUUACAACUGGUUGAAACCCUCCAGAUGCAGUGUUAGAUUUCCUUAAUUCAAAUAAAGAAAGGAAUUUUUAUACCUCUCGAAUAUUUCAUGUAAUUUAAUUUUGUUAUGCUUCUUUUCACAAAAAAAAAAAUUGGGAUCGUUUAGUUUUAAGUGGUAAAAUGACUAAAAUACCCUUAAGGUUAAAUCCUUACAAAUAGUUUUAAAAUGGUUCACAAAUCGCUUCCGCAAUAAGAUUAGAAAGUUAUUAGUUAGAAUUGAGGUGUUAUAAGGUUGGAGUGUCUUUUGGGGUGGUUUUGUGCUAGAGAAUCACUUUGGUGGCUAAUGUAUCGGUUCAGAUUCGGGUCGGUCCGUUCCGGUCGGGUUUAGGGUGUCACAAAAUUCACAUCUCAUAAAAUUAUUUCAAAGGAAUAACUCGUCUUAUAUAUAUACUUACCAAAUAAUACAAUGUCUAAAAGCAACGUUUUUAAAUAGUUUAGAUUAUAGAAACACAAAUCGUAAAUUUCAAGCUAUUCCUCGCUGACCUUAUCUUUUUCUUUCUUUUUCAAGGAUUCCGAAACAACGUUAGCUAUGGAUUGAAAUAAUUAAAAUAAAUUAAUAAUACAAAACCCAAUUCACAUUCAAUUACAAAAUUUAUACUAUUUUUGCAUAAAGCUCGAUUUAGUCCCUAAAACUGAAACUAACUUAACUUCCACAUUUAACCUCAAAUUUUUAUACCAAUUUCACUCUAAUCUAAAUUUAGCUCCCUAUUUCUCAGUUCUACCCCAUAAUUUUGAAUUUUCAUAAUUUGGUCUCUAUUAUUUAAAAUCAACAAUUAAAAUCACAAUUGAUAAAAAAACAAUUAACUUCAUAAUUUAGUCCUUUUUCACUUCUAACCUAAAAAUCUAUCAAAUUAAUCCCUAAAGUUUUAACUACUCAAUAAUGGUAACAACUAAAAUCUUAAGCAAUACUGAAAAAUAGUACAUAGGUCAACUAACUUUCGAGUCGUUACAAUUAACUUAAAAUGAUUAAAGAUAUUAAAGAAAAGCAACAAUAAUUAAAUUGAAAUGAGGCGGGGAUGAAAACAUCCAACAUUCAUAGAUAUAGUAAUGUUUUCAAGAUUAUAAAUAUAUAAACGGAGUAGAGUGCGCUGACUAUGGAGCAAUGGUAGAUUUAACAAUAACUACCUGCUCGCUCCAUUGUCAUUCCUAAGCAUAGAUUUAUUACUUUGUAAAUAUAUAUAUAAAUGUAAUUUUGACGUUAAUUAGUAUGGUUUUCACUCAUGCUUCGUAUUGGAUUAAUUAUUAUUUUUUAAUUAAAUUAUAGAAUAGAAAAUUUAAAGGUUACAAUAAGCUCAAAGUUCUUGUACUCUUUGUAUAAUUAAAAUUUAAUCUUCAUACUUCUAUUUUUAUGAAUUUAAUCUCUUUACUUUUUGAAUUUAAAAAUUUAGGUCCAUUUGGAAUAUAUAAAACAUUUAGACUAUCUAAUGGAGGUAGUAAACUAUGUCAAAAUUAAAGUAUAGAAAUUAAAUUUCAAAUUUAAGUGAAAAUAUACUAUUUUUAUAUUAUCUCAAAAAUGUAAAAAUAAAGGGAUUAAAACUGAAAUUUAACCAUUAUCUUCUCGUGUAAGAAAAAUGGAAAAAGGAUAUGUGUCAUGUAAGAAGGCCCUAAGUCACUCCAUUUAUAUGAGUAUAGAUAUUUUGAUCUGCAGAUCGUCGGUAAUCACCUUCCAGUAAGAAUCUCUUACAUUUUAAAAGGUAAACUCUCUCGCUUUUUAUUUUUUAUUUUCUUGUUCGCUUUUGCAUUCUUCGAUCUCGAGUCAGUUUUCUUUAUGUGAUCAUUUCUGUUUAUCUCUUCAUUGGUGCGUACGGAUGUUAAUUACUUUCCUAUAACAUUUUUGGAGUUUGCCCCCUUUCUUUUUAAUUAAUUAUUUUUUUGUUUAUGGAUAACAUUUAUUAUUCUCAACUGAUUGUUCCCUGCUGUUGUUGCAUGAUUGUUAUGAUCCGGGACAUUAAAUUUUGGUUGGAAUUUCAAUUAGGGUUCAUACUAAUGAGCCCAGUUCUUGUUUGUGCCAUUUUUUCCUCUUUUUACCAGUAAUUGCGUGUUUCAUUCAUGGACACAUAAUUCUCAUGUAUAUAAAUUUGAUCAAGAGUUGGCUUUUUUGUUAGGCCCCAAGAUCCAGAAGGAUGAAUAAUUCCGCAAAUGGGAAUGUAAAAUAGAAAGAAAAAAAAAGCUCGAUCUUUUUAUGAGACAAAAGUUCCCAAAUCUGGAGACAAAGUUGUUUUACUCUUGCUUUUCGGAUAUUUCAUGCUUGAAUAAAAACGCAAAUCUCUUAUCUGUCUUAACAUGAUUAUGGCAUAAUUGAAUUGAAAAUGUUGCAAAAAUAACUUCAAAAUGUAGUUAAUUUCUCGAAAUUACUUAUGGCGGCAUUGACUUGUGCACUCUCAGUCUUUAAUUAGUUUAUCUAUAUGCUGAUGGAAGUAUUUCGUACAUGUUGAGAAUUGGCAUAAAACUGUUACUAUUAUAAAGGAUUUGUGAUUCUAUGGGCAUGUUAUUUUAGAUAUUUGUUUCCAUCUCCCUUUCUUUUUCCUUUAGCUGGAUUCCUAUGUAUAAGAGUAGGUUUGAUUUUCUUUGUAAUGUGACUAGGAUGAGGUUUUAGUAUCCUUUACUACCACUUGUACAAUAUCCUUAAAUUAGACUGUUGGAUAAUUUAAUUAUAAUUAAUGUUAAUCCUUUUUAUUGUCUUAAACAUAUCAUUGUUUAUAUUGUAACUUGUAUCAGUUGUUGCGGCAGUACAUGCCAUGUUUCUUUUCCCUAUGAUUUUAAAUGUCGUCAUCUGAUCAAUUUUGAUCAUCUCUUCACCAGUGUACGUAGCACAGAGUUUACUCCUUAGAAAUCAAUGGGAAGAGUAUCUUCCAAUUAAAUUUUGUGUGAUUCUCUAUGGGUAUUUACUUUAUAAUUGUUGGGUUACUAUAGUGCUUGAAGCUACAUUGGUACAGGUGUAGUUUUGUCUGGUGGAAUAUGUCCUAUUACCAAGAAGAUGAUGCUGAAUACAUGGCAGAGGAGUAUGACAUGGAGGACAUAGAUGACAUGGAUGAAGAGUUCUGCGGCAGAGAUAUGUCUGGCUCGGAGUCUGAUGUUGAUGAAUAUGAUUACUCGGUUUGUUUGAUGAUUUACAAGAUGCAAAUUGGACUUAAAUUAAUUCAUUCAUAACUUAGGCAAACGUAAAAAAGUGUUUUUUAUUUUUUAAAAUUGGGAUAAAUCUCAAAACUAUACAUCAACUUUGAACAAAUGUGCAAUGUUAAUACAUAAAAUUUGAUUUUGUGCAAUUUUAUACUUGAAAUUUUCAUUUGAUUCAAUUUUUACAAAUCAUUAACAUAAUUAUAAAUAAAGAGUUACCUGACAAUUAUAUAUUGCAUAUAUAAAUAAUUAUUUUUAUCUAAUAAAUAAAUAAAAUUGAUAUAAUUUUUUUUUAAAAUGUGUACAGUUGAAUCAAAAUCAAAGUUUUAAUUAUACAUUUCAACUUCAAUCAAAGUUUCAUGUGUAUGAUUGUAUCAAAUCAAAGUUCAUGUAUCAAAUUUGCACAUUAGGUUGAAGUUAAUGUGUAGUUUUUGAGAUUUAUCCAUUAAUUUUUUUUUUAAAGUUUCUGUUCUAGUUCUCAUGGAUUGCUAGCCAGCCUAACAUAAGUUGACGGUAUUGCAGAAUAAUAAAAUAUCUGAUACUUCUGCUGCUGAAGCUAGAAGAGGAAAAGACAUCCAGGGAAUACCUUGGGAUCAGCUAAGCAUCACUAGGGAAAAAUACAGGCAAACUAGGCUAGAACAGUACAAGAACUAUGAGAAUAUCCCCCACUCUGGGGAAGUGUCAGGGAAGGUAAAAGUACUUAAAAGUUGCCCGCUUUCCUUCUAAAAUGUGCUAAAUUGAAAUUUCAAUUUGUAUGUAGGAUUGCAAGAUUACCAAGAAGGGUGCAUCAUACUAUGACUUCAGGCUAAAUUCAAGAUCUGUGAAAUCAACAAUACUUCAUUUUCAGGUUAGCUGAAUGGGAAUUUUCAUUCAAGACCUGUGAUGUCAUAGAAGGAUUUGUCUUUUUCUUGUUAAAAUUCUUUCUCAUAUCUUGUAGUUGUACGGCCAGUCCUUUCCUCUUUUACUGCUUGACUGUGGUGUGAUCAUUAUUGUUAGUGAUAGACAUAUCAAUUUGUGGUGAUGCAGUUGAGGAACCUGGUAUGGGCUACAUCAAAACAUGAUGUUUAUCUCAUGUCACAAUUUUCUGUCAUGCAUUGGUCUUCAUUGACACACAAGAAGCGUGAAAUUCUUAAUGUUUCUGGGCAUGUGGCACCAUCUGAGGUCUGUGCUCUGGCAGUGAUUUGGCACUUUAUCUGACUUGUUGGUCUUCUUCCUUUUCUUUUCUUGUUAUCCCCCCAUAUUGUUUCCUCAGAUUGAUUUGCGUGUUUUUCCCUUUUAGAAACAUCCUGGAAGUCUGAUGGAAGGUUUUACGCAAACUCAAGUCAGUACUCUUGCAGUAAAGGAUAAGCUGCUAGUUGCUGGAGGAUUCCAGGGUGAACUAAUAUGUAAGGUAAGGAAAGCAACUUUUUUCCUUUCAAUCCUUCAUUGACAAAAAAGAGGUCAGAAAGAGGGAUAAGCCUUUGUGCAGUGAUUGCGGAGCUACUUUUCCAUGCAAUAUAGCUACUUUUCAGUUUUUGCAAGUCACUUGAAGCCUAACAUUUAUAUCUUAACUGUUAUAGACAAUCUAUUGUUAGACAUAUCUGUGAUCCUGUAAGAUGGAUCUGAGUAGAAGGUUCUAUUAUGCAUUUUAGAGCUAAUGAUUUUGCGCUCAUUCUGUUCCAAACCUCAUUUACUUGUUUGUCUUGUUUUGAACUACUUACUGCUUAAAACUUUGUGAAUGACAGGUAAAAAAAUGUAUUUGGAUAGUUUCUUUUUUCCCCUUAGCUCUUGGUUGCUGUUUUUCUGAUGCCAGUUAUUUAAGAAUUAAUUAGUCGAUUUUGAUCUGUAAUGUAGCAUUUAGAUCGACCUGGAAUAAGCUUCUGCUCCAGGACAACUUAUGAUGACAAUGCCAUUACAAAUGCUGUUGAGAUUUAUGUCACUCCAAGGUAUUUCUUGUUUCCUGAUCUGCUGUUGACACUGAUCUCAGUCAACCUGAACCUAAUUUGCAUUGUUCCUGAAUUACCAGUGGCGCAGUUCACUUUACGGCCUCAAAUAAUGACUGUGGAGUCAGAGAUUUUGAUAUGGAGAAAUAUCAGCUUUCCAAGCAUUUUCAUUUUCUUUGGCCUGUCAAUGUAAGUUACAUACAUUAGGAUUUCAUUGUUUCAGAUCUGUAAACAUACAGUAAUGUUAUUUUGUGUAUUAUUAAUUCUGAUUCUGUUAAUCCAAUAAAGGCAAAUGGUGAGAAAUACUUAAAAGCUAUGCUUGUAAUGUUGCUUUUGCAGCAUACUUCUCUGAGCCCUGAUGGGAAACUUCUAAUAAUAGUUGGAGACAACCCUGAUAUUAUGUUGGUAGACUCUGAUACAGGGAAGGUACUUGUCAUCCUGCUUUUGCAAUAUUGUUUACAUUUUUGGAGAUUGCAAAGCAUCAGCUGAUACUGAAAUUAAUUGCAGACUGUUAUGCCCUUGCGUGGACACUUGGACUUUUCAUUUGCGUCAGCAUGGCAUCCUGAUGGUGUCACUUUUGCAACCGGGAACCAAGACAAAACAUGCCGAAUUUGGGAUGUUCGAAACUUGUCAAAGUCAAUUGCUGUUCUAAAGGGAAACCUUGGAGCAAUACGGUCCAUUCGCUACACAUCUGAUGGUAAGUACAUGGCCAUGGCUGAGCCUGCUGACUUUGUGCAUGUGUAUGAUGUCAAAAGUGGGUACGAGAAUGAGCAAGAAAUCGAUUUCUUUGGUGAGAUAUCCGGCCUAUCCUUUAGUCCGGACACAGAGUCUCUCUUUAUUGGCGUAUGGGAUCGUACAUAUGGCAGCCUUCUUGAGUAUAGCCG
rnacentral:lncRNA from 1 species